AGAUGAUUGGAGGAGAUUGGAGAGUGGGGAAUAAGGUUUUCGGAAGAGGACAAAGGGUAAACAGUGCCCUAGAAGCUCACGGGUCCCCCUUUUCACAGUGGGGUCCCGACGUUGGGUCGACUCAAGAAUUUUCUUGGGUCGACUCAACGUUGGGUCGACCCUAUUUUGGGUUGGGUCGACCCAAGUUCAGAAAUUUUUCCUUUCUCUUCCUUUUUGCUUCUAAAAAUUUUCUUUGCUUCCAAUCCUUACAAAUUCUUUCUGGGACAAUGAUACAUGAGUAAGGAAUCUAUAGAUGACAAGUUUGAUUCAUGUUUCAUGGGUUUUUAGAAAUGGGAGGAAUGUAUCAUGAGACUGCUUGCUUCCUUUUAUAUCUCUUC
rnacentral:lncRNA from 1 species